rnacentral:misc_RNA from 1 species
CUCGUCCGUACUCAUCUUUGUUGAAUAAUUAUAACUAAUUUUCAAGUACAACACAAAAUCCUUGGCUCAAAAGUAAGCGAUUUAUUCACCUAGACUAUCCUCUGGCCACAAAAUAACUGUUCAACUAGGGAGGCUGAAUCUAUAUUCCCUCUAUUUCUUUUGACUUCAAAGUUGCUAUCGAAAUCCUUCAUAGACGUUUCGUAUUGUAACUUUAACCCAUCAACCAAAGUAACACUCCAAACCAUUAAAAAUUAUAGGCAACAACCGGAAACACAGUUGUAAGCCAAAACAAUUGUUAAGCCUUGCUUGCAUGCAAGCAGCACCAGACGAUGAAACAAGAGGCUGUCACGGUAGCAAAAUAAAAAGCCUAGGUGCACGGCUAAUUCUGUCUUCAACACAAACUAACAAGAUUUAACCUACGUGCAAGGUUCAACUCCUGAAUGAGGACUGUCGAAACCCCCCCAAAACCAUGUACAUAAGGUAUCUUCAAGUUUUAUAUUUACAUGAUAUGAUAUAAUGGAUCAAAGCCUCAACAAAAGAACAUAGAAUUGCAUACUUUGUCCUGCAAUCUGGGCAGCUGAGGCACAGGAACAGCUCCAGCAGAGGUUACACCACCAUGGCUUGAGGACGUCUCAGAAGUGUCUUCAAACUUCAUGAAUGUUCCCAACUGGGUGGCAGCCAGGUGAGCAUAGCAUAUUGGCGCAACUACAGAAAAAGCACACAAAUAUAAGAGGAAUAAAUUUAAUGAGCUGGAAAAUGAAAAGACCACCGACUUAAUGACUAUAAUGGUUCCUGCUAUUAUGAUAACAAUAUUAUCUAACAGGAGUUGCUAAAUAGAUUACACAUCUACACCCAAGAGCCAGGUGAGGGGUCCAUGGCCAUCAAACACAAUUGUCAUCUUAUCAAUGAAAUUAUCCUAUCACAAAUAACACCAGCAUACGAAGUCUAAACUUACCUACAGAUAUGGCUGUUGUACUUCUUUGAUACCUGAUAUUAUAUGCGCAAAGAUCAUUCAGAUUAAUCAUAAUAAUACCCAAGAUGAUAAAACAUAUAUUUACCCACCAUGUGCUAAAACUAAAAAUUUACUUACACGUAUGACAAAGAAUGCACUAGGUCCUGAAGAUCAUCAGCAGAAAAGCCAACCUCAUCUAAUAAAACAUGGUAGUGUGUGGGUCUUGUAGUGCCAAUCAUUCCUGCAUGAGCACAGAGAUAGAAAUCAUUGCUCUUUGGAUGACAGACUUUGUUGUCUAUGACAGUACCAGGUGGAACAUUAUCAGGAGAUCCAGGCUGGAAGAAUUUUGUAUGGUGGUUUUUUUGAGCAACAAUCACCACAAACUUAGGGUUCCAUUUCUCAUCAAGAAACUUGCAUGCCUCAAUUAUCUGAUCCAGUUCAAUAUUCAAUACUUGAUUGAAUUGAGAUUCACUGACGCCAUCCCUGAACAUGAUGAUCUGAUCAGGUUUCCUUUUCCCUGAACUACUAUAGAAGUCCAACAGAAGCUCCCUAAUCAUCCCUUGAUCUUGAUUGUCAGAUACUCGUUUAAAAAGGGAGUCAAUCAUCUCAACCUUUGGAGAUUGUGUGCGAACAGAUGCCCUAUAUCGAGAAAUCAGAGGCCACUGCCUGGAACUGACCACCGCAGCAAUUGAUGGGACAUCAGAAUGCCCAGGCGAGCCAUGUGACACAUCCAUCCCAAGGAUAAUCGUAGGAACCUUGGAAACAACUGGAAUAGAAGGUGUAUGCUCCACUGCUAACAAAGAAUUUAACCCACCAAGCUUUGCAUUGAUCUUCAACAGAAGAUUAGUCAGAUACUGGUCAUUGACCCUCUGUGGAGCCAAGCACUGAGUGAAAAUUCCAAAGUCGGCAAGAUUUUUCUUCUUCCAAGGACCAUAUAUGUCUGAGUUUUUCCUCUCUGGAAGUAAGCACAAAAGAAACUUUGGGGCACUAGGAAGCUUAGACUGUAUCUCCUCAAACAUUUUCUCCACUCUAACUGUAGGUGGGGCUCGUCUGUACUGUGGACUCUCCUCAAAUGCAUCAAAAGGAGGCUCUACAUUAAUUCCUUUCAUCUCUGCACAUCUUGUCAGAUCUCGUACCAGGUUGCGAACAUCACAACGUGCUGAGAAGUUCACAAUAGCCCAUUUCUCUAUGUUACAUGGCUGCACAAGUCUCUUAUUAUUAAAGUUCCAGCGCCCAUUUCGGGGAAAGAAAUCCUCACCAUUGCCUAUUUUUAGCCUUGGAGCCGGCAAAACACGGCCUUCUACUUGGGCAAAACUACUACUGAUAGAAAUGCCACAUGAUCGUAACAUAGGUUCAGAAUCAUAUUUGCUAGAUUUCAGAGCAUUUGAUAAAGUACUCAUCCUCUCAUGUGGCUUUUGUCUUGAUCUCUCGACCAAAGAAGCUCUUUGGAAAGUAUUAAGUGCUUUUGUGUAACGUUGCAAGGAUACCAAAGAACAGAGCUCAAUUGGAAUAUAAGUAGGACGCUUUGGCUUCCCAACAUUAAUGCAUGGCAAAUCCGCAGAAUACCUUAAUUCUAUAUGGCGAUGAUUAACAAAAUAUUCAUAAACAGUUAAUUCAAGAGGUUCGCCAUCCCCAUCCCUUCUUUUUAGUUGAAACGUUAGCUCUUUGCAAGGUCUCUCACUCAGACCAGUUAUCUUGUACUCUUGAUUGGAGGGGAUAGCCUUGAUCCUCAGGUUUUUUAGCGUUCGUUUUGCCUUAGUCCAGUCAAGUUGAAAGGGGUCUCUCGCAUUUUGGUUGGCAAUUAGAAAGUCCACAACAGGACCAGGCUGAAUUAUCAUGGUUGUAGAUACAUCAAUAUUCAGAGACAAGCCCCCCUGAGUGGUUCUAAAACUUGAGUGAAACCCUCUACAGCCCAGAACACCACCCCCAACAUCUGUGAAAUUUCUUGGAUCAUUGUGAAAAAAAUUCUGGCGAACAAGGAGGCAGCCCUGUUUAGCUGCAUGCUGACGCAAUAUAAUAUCCAGAACCCUUAUGGCUUCUUGAGAGUUCUCCGACUCCUGUCCCCGGAGCGCAUUUGCAAUGGCUUGCAUGGGUAUUUUAGCAGCAAAACUGAUCUCCACUUUGAAUGUUUUGGACUGAUAUGGUCGUCGCAACCUCUUCCGAUCACUGUGAUUUGGACUACCAUGGUCUUCAGGGCUUGCAUUCCCGUUGUUUCUGUUAGACGAGAUGUCCUCAAGCACAACGGUGAACUCAAGCUUGUUGCGCGGAAGAGGACCAACAGUGAAUAAGCUCUUCUCGCCAUCAUAUGCAAAGUGCUUCCCAUCUAACUCAGAAUCGUAAGUUUCUUGAACUCGAUCAAUGACCUUCCUUCCAACUCCUUUUCCGUCAACAGGUCGACCAUCUUCAUACGAAAGAGCAACACUGUAAUGGAAAAAAUACCCAUCAACGUUGGUCACAUUCACUUUGAAGUGGUUGGUGAGAAGAGGAAUCUUCUGUCCUUUGGAAGCCAACCCACGCCUAGCUAUCGGAACCCUAAGAGGCUUCUUCUUCACCGGUUCAGGCUCUGCUUGUAGUGGAACUACAUCCGGUGGAACGACAGUUGGAGGAGGAGGCAAGUCCUGCUGUGACCCAUUUUUCUCGGGCUCAUACGAAUCCAUGUCUUAACAUUCAAAGUAGGCGUUAGCGUCAGAGAUACCGGUGGCGGUUGAGAGGUCCUGGCCGGGGAGAACCACGUUGACCGGAAUCUUCUCUUUCU